rnacentral:sRNA from 1 species
AUUUUAAUUUUUGAUUGUGUUCUUAGUUUUCUUUUUAUGAGGAAAGAGUUAGAGCAUCUCCAUGCGAGUAUCUCAAUGAGAUACCCAACAAAAAGAAGAAAAUUAAAAAAAGUAAAAAAAAAAGAGAGUUAAGUUUUGCAAGAGAAACUUUAAGAAACAAUUAAUAUAUCAAUUAUCUAAUUUGGACAGCUGCCAUAACAUUAUUCAAU